UACAGAGGUCCCAAGCGUUUGUUCGGAUUCAUUGGGCGUAAAGGGUGCGUAGGCGGCGCGGUAAGUCGGGUGUGAAAUCUCGGAGCUUAACUCCGAAACUGCAUUCGAUACUGCCGUGCUUGAGGACUGGAGAGGAGACUGGAAUUUACGGUGUAGCGGUGAAAUGCGUAGAUAUCGUAAGGAAGACCAGUGGCGAAGGCGGGGUCUCUGGACAGUUCCUGACGCUGAGGCACGAAGGCCAGGGGAGCAAAACAGG
rnacentral:rRNA from 1 species